GGGCGAUUAGCUCAGUUGGUUAGAGCGCGCGCUUCACAUGCGCGAAGUCGGGGGUUCGAGUCCCUCAUCGCCCA
rnacentral:tRNA from 1 species